CCUACGGGAGGCAGCAGUGAGGAAUAUUGGUCAAUGGACGAGAGUCUGAACCAGCCAAGUAGCGUGAAGGAUGACUGCCCUAUGGGUUGUAAACUUCUUUUAUAUGGGAAUAAAAUGUUCCACGUGUCGGAUUUUGUAUGUAUCAUAUGAAUAAGGAUCGGCUAACUCCGUGCCAGCAGCCGCGGUAAUACGGAGGAUCCGAGCGUUAUCCGGAUUUAUUGGGUUUAAAGGGAGCGUAGGUGGGUUGUUAAGUCAGUUGUGAAAGUUUGCGGCUCAACCGUAAAAUUGCAGUUGAAACUGGCAGUCUUGAGAACAGUAGAGGUAGGCGGAAUGCGGGGUGUAGCGGUGAAAUGCAUAGAUAUCACGAAGAACUCCGAUUGCGAAGGCAGUUCACUGGACUGCAACUGACACUGAGGCUCGAAAGUGUGGGUAUCAAACAGGAUUAGAUACCCGAGUAGUC
rnacentral:rRNA from 1 species